AUUGAACGCUGGCGGCAGGCCUAACACAUGCAAGUCGAGCGGAUGAAGGGAGCUUGCUCCUGGAUUCAGCGGCGGACGGGUGAGUAAUGCCUAGGAAUCUGCCUGGUAGUGGGGGAUAACGUCCGGAAACGGGCGCUAAUACCGCAUACGUCCUGAGGGAGAAAGUGGGGGAUCUUCGGACCUCACGCUAUCAGAUGAGCCUAGGUCGGAUUAGCUAGUUGGUGGGGUAAAGGCCUACCAAGGCGACGAUCCGUAACUGGUCUGAGAGGAAGAUCAGUCACACUGGAACUGAGACACGGUCCAGACUCCGACGGGAGGCAGCAGUGGGGAAUAUUGGACAAUGGGCGAAAGCCUGAUCCAGCCAUGCCGCGUGUGUGAAGAAGGUCUUCGGAUUGUAAAGCACUUUAAGUUGGGAGGAAGGGCAGUAAGUUAAUACCUUGCUGUUUUGACGGUACCAACAGAAUAAGCACCGGCUAACUUCGUG
rnacentral:rRNA from 1 species